rnacentral:rRNA from 1 species
CGUAAACUUUGAUCCGAAGAUUUCCGAAUGAGGAAACUCACUUAGAGUAAUGUCUAAGUAUCAUUAAGUGAAUACAUAGCUUAAUGAGGGGAACUCAGGGAACUGAAACAUCUAAGUACCUGAAGGAAGAGAAAGAAAUUCGAUUCCGUAAGUAGCGGCGAGCGAACGCGGAUUAGCCCAAACCAAUAAAGUUUUCUUUAUUGGGGUUGCGGACAUAUCAUAACGAAGAGGUAUCGUAAUUGAAGAGGUUUGGAAAGACUCACCACAGAAGGUAAUAGUCCUGUAUGUUAAACGAGAAGACUUCAGAUAUGAUCCAGAGUACCACGGGACACGUGAAACCCUGUGGGAAGCAGGAGGGACC